CUCUGGAUAAAGAUCAAAAUCUACAAGCUCCAGGGACAUCUCUGACUGAAUCUUCCUGUGGUUUUAACAUGCUAGCUGAAGUCCUGCAGGGCGUUCAUGUCUGCCUAAUGAGCAGUGGCGUACUGCUAAUGGGGACAUGGGGUACCCCGUGUCCCCGGGCGCAUGCCACCGAGCCCCGCCCCGCCGGCCUCCCUGCAGGCUGAAAAUACAAAACACUGUGUUCUAUACAACUUUUUAUAAGCCAGUUUUUGAUUGUGUUAUAUAUGCGUAAAAGUAGCAUAUACGUUAUCUACACCAGUGGCUAUACUCAGUGGCUGCUUGAGAUGCCAUCUGUGGCUUUUCUGAGCACUGUUCCCACUGCGGCACCAGUUCCGUGUUUCAGGAAAGUGGGCAAGGCUCCUGCCCAGCGGGGCUUACGACUGGCAGGUGAUUCCCACUUUGAAAGAGUCAAAGGUGGAGGAACAGGGAAGCUGCAAGCUUUUCUAAGGCUCGGGCCUCCUGUCAGGGAUGGGGAAAGGCCUAAUGUGGCUCUUUUGAUUGAUGGGAAAUGUGCCUCCCCAUGAGCAGUGGAUGGUGUACCACUGAGCUAAACAAAUACAUGUCCCUGUUGCUUUAACCCCCCCCCCCCCCAAAGACCUUUUGAAGGCUAAUAACACUGCUGUGGCAAAGCCUCAUACCUGGAUAGAGUAAAAUCUCCUCUUAUCCCCACAUGGCCCAGGUCUGAAUUGGGCCCCUGCACAACGUCAGUCAACAAGUACCGGCCGGAUCUGAUUGCAGAUUUCCCAGCAUCCCUUCUUGUGGGCCCCUGAGAUAAGCCCAACGGUGAAGCAGCUCCAAGCAGAACUUUUUGCUCUGUUUAAAUAAGUUAAAAAUUUCAAAGACAAGGGCUGGGAGCAGUUGAAAUUAUAAUGGGCCUAUAUAUUUUGUUCCGUUUGUAUGAUGAAGGACACCUCGGUAGGACUUGAAAUAUUUUCUGUCUUCUUUUCAAUGAUAAAUGCUCUGGUGGCCGGGAACGCACAAAUUUAGGAAGCCAAAUUAAUGGAGACAUAAAAAGUGGGAAAUGUCACCUUUUCAUUCUUAUUGUUGUUUGUGGACUGUGAUAUUCUGUUUUAGAAAUAAAUUUUGUCCAGGAAUGUUAAAAAAAAAUAAACAGUGGAAUAUAAAA